GACGAACGCUGGCGGCGUGCUUAACACAUGCAAGUCGAACGAAGUGGCGAACGGGUGAGUAACGUGUAAUCAACCUGCCCUUCAGAGGGGGACAACAGUUGGAAACGACUGCUAAUACCGCAUACUGAAGGAGGGGAUUGCGUCUGAUUAGCUAGUUGGAGGGGUAACGGCCCACCAAGGUGGUGAUCAGUGGGCGGGCUUAAGAGGUGAACCACAAAAAUGGGAAUGGGACACGGCCCAGGCCCCUACGGGAGGCAACAGGUGGGAAUCUUCCGCAAUGGAGGGAAUCCUGACGGAGCAACGCCGCGGGAGUGAUGACGGCCUUCGGGUUGUAAAGCUCUGUUAAUCGGGACGCGGUACCGGAAGAGAAAGCCACGGCUAACUACGUGCCAGCCGCCGCGGUAAUAC
rnacentral:rRNA from 1 species